GAUGAAGAACGUAGCGAAAUGCGAUAAGUAUUGUGAAUUGCAGAAUUCAGUGAAUCAUCGAAUCUUUGAACGCACAUUGCGCCCGCCAGUAUUCUGGCGGGCAUGCCUGUUCGAGCGUCAUUUCAACCAUCAAGCCCCCGGGCUUGUGUUGGGGACCUGCGGCUGCCGCAGGCCCUGAAAACCAGUGGCGGGCUCGCUAGUCACUCCGAGCGUAGUAGUUACAUCUCGCUCAGGGCGUGCUGCGGGUUCCGGCCGUUAAAAGCCUUUUACCCCAAGGUUGACCUCGGAUCAGGUAGGAAGACCCGCUGAACUUAAGCAUAUCAAUAAGCGGAGGA
rnacentral:misc_RNA from 1 species